AAUCAGCAAGGGAGGUCAAGGAAAAGCAUUCACUGUCCUGUGGUUAGAGUGUUGGCCUGCACACAGAACAGUCACGGGUUCAAUUCACCAUCAGGGGCACAUACAUGGGUUGCGGGUUUUCUUUCCACCCCCAGUUGGGGUUCAUGUGGGAAGCAACCAGUCCAUCUGUCUCUCUCACAUUGAUGUUUCUCUAUCACUCUCCCCUCUUCCCCUCUCUUCAAAGCAAAGGGAAAAACAUCCUCAUGUGAGGAUUAACAAAGAAGGAAGAGGAGGAAGAGAAGGAGAAGGAGGAGGAAGAGGAGAAGGACGAGCAGCAGUAGCAGCAGUAUUCACUGAGGAAGAGAAAAAAUGAAGAUAUGACAUCACAGAUGCCAAGAGACGCAGGCCUGGCGUGGCCUCGGGAGUGCUGCAGGGGAAGAAACAAGCCGAGGGGAGAGCAGCAGGACCUCUGGUUUCACAGGACCUCACAGCCUUUCCUGAGGCAGCCUCCGAACCUCACUGCACCCAGUCCCAAGCAUAGACGGGGUGUAUACUUGCUAACCCUGCAAUGUUGAUGAGGAACAAGAACGAAUUUGCAGUACAAAUAUUUACUUUUGGCUAUAGGUAUGACUUUUAAAAAUAUAUAAACUUAAUUUUCAUUAUGUAAGUAAUGCUCAUUGUAGAAAAAUUUUCACUUAUUUUGCAGGUAAUGUGUAUUGCAGAAAUUUUCAAGAACAAAUAUGUAAAAGAAACUAAAAUUACCAGUUACCCCAAUUACUCCAAGGGGCAAUGCUUGAAGAAAUGGAUAAAUUUUGAGUAAUUCUCACAAUAAGAAUGCGCAAACUGAAUUUUCAACCUCAAAACAAAACCUGUCCGGUGAAGUAUAUUAAAUUCUGGUUAUCUGGUUGCCUACAUUUCUCCCAAUGUAUUUUCAAUGACCUAAAUCCAAGUUUGAAGUAAAAGUUCAUCCCUUCCUGGACAUCAGCCAUUCUUAUUUUAAUAUGCUUCCCUGGACUUGCCUGCAAAGUCUGUUGUUGCUAUCCCAGGCAUCACCCAGAACCACAAGUGCUGUGAGCCAGAGAAAUGCAAAUCUCAGUGAUAAUCUUGAAUAUUUUAUCCAACAACUAGAAGCCAUUUACUUAAUGGAAAGUAUUACAAUGCAUGAUGCCAUUCCAAUCAAGGCUUAAUUCAUUUGCAGGCAGACUUUCAAGAGCUUGAACCUGCAUUUUGCUUAUAUAAGGAGCCACUCCACAGUUAAAUUUCACAGGAAUUUAAACCAUCCAUCCACUGCCAACCUGAUCUAGUUUUACCCUUCUGAUGCUACAAUUACCUUUUCGGAUUCAUUGGAAACAUUUUUAGCCAAUAGGUCCAACAGAGAUUGAUCUUGAUGUACCUGGACUCUGAAAAGCCACGGUGGAGGCUGGGCCUGGAUUGUAUUAUAGUAUGGCAACCCGAGAUGACUCUGGGGUAUGGGGAAUUAGGGGGAAGCAAUGAUCAAAUAGGGUUUCAUUUACACCUUUGCUUGUAAUUUAGAUGUCUUGUCUAGAUUAAAGCCAUUAGUGGGCACAAAUGGAGAAACUGUGUUUGAGUGUGAUAUGGUUUGAAUUUCUACUAUCUAACUAUGAAUCAAAACAAGGAACAAGAGUAAUAUGGGCAUACAGAAGCAGCCAGAGAGAACCAAGGCUGUUUGGUUAAAGGUUAUAUCUGGUUUCAUAAUAACGGGGAAGCUAGGACACAUAAUAGGAAUCACUAUAUAUUAUUUAUGUAUAGUUAGGGUGCUAUAUUAAAUUUACAAUGAAUUUUCUAUGGUUCUUGCCAUAGAGUAUGGAUUCAGUCAUUUUCAAGACUC